UAAUACCAGCACCCCGAGUGGUCGGGACGAUUAUUGGGCCUAAAGCAUCCGUAGCCGGUUCUACAAGUCUUCCGUUAAAUCCACCUGCUUAACAGUUGGGCUGCAGAGGAUACUAUAGAGCUAGGAGGCGGGAGAGGCAAGCGGUACUUAGUGGGUAGGGGUAAAAUCCGUUGAUCCACUGAAGACCACCAGUGGCGAAGGCGG
rnacentral:rRNA from 1 species